rnacentral:rRNA from 1 species
CAGUCGCCGCGGUAAUACGUAGGGGGCAAGCGUUGUCCGGAAUCAUUGGGCGUAAAGAGCGUGUAGGUGGCUUGGUAAGUCCGCUGUGAAAGUCCAGGGCUCAACCCUGGAAUGCCGGUGGAAACUGUCGAGCUAGAGUCCGGAAGAGGCGAGUGGAAUUCCUGGUGUAGCGGUGAAAUGCGCAGAUAUCAGGAGGAACACCAAUGGCGAAGGCAGCUCGCUGGGACGGUACUGACACUGAGACGCGAAAGCGUGGGGAGCAAACAGGAUUAGAUACCCCGGUAGUCCCUGUCUCUUAUAC